rnacentral:snRNA from 1 species
GGAUGCGAGGGCAAUCUGGCUGUAACUCUGUCACCUCAUUGAUCACCACGGUUGAUUCAGCUAACACAGCUGGCUACGCGGGUGUCCCCUUACUGCCCCACCACUCCAUGUGCAUCCCUCCUGAAGCUGCAUGCUUGGUUAAAGAGAACGACUAUCCCUGAUUACAGGAGGAGAGGACUGGUCUUUGGUCACGGGUAAAUGAGUAGCUGUGUUCCCCUGCUAGAGCUUCUAAAGAAGCUCUCAAGAAGCUUUAAUGCUUAAUCCUGAUUCUGUUAAAGACAGAACAAUCA